CAAUAAAAUCAAAUACUUUAAGUGCUUUGGUAAGUAGUUCAAACUUAGAGUCAAUUUAUACACAGAGAUAAAGGGACUAAGGCUCUGAGGAGCAUAUGUGGUUAGGUGGUGAAGAUCUUCAAAGUCAUCAAUGAACAUCCUCAAAACUAGAGCGCACUGAUGUAAAUGCAGUGGACAACUGCAUAACAGACUCAACCCGCAUGUCUGAAGCAGGCCGUAUCUUUUACAAAUACAUAUAUAACUUAACAAUUAUUUUUAAUUACAUGUCUGUGUGUGGGUAUGGACAUGUGAGUGCUGCUGUUCUCAAGACCCAGAGAUGUCAGUCCCCCAGAGCUGGACUCAUAGGCCCUUGUGAGCUCUUCAUGUGCGCGCUGGGAACCAACCUGGCAUCCUCCGCAAGAACAGUGCGCACUCUUAACCGAUUGACACUGCAGAGUAAGAUGAGCUGUAAAGAGCCCGCAAUUACACACGUCAGUUUCUCCUUAGAGCAAAGCAACUCAGUGCAAUCAAGUGAAAAUGAGGUGAUUCCAGAAAGAGGACAACUGCACAGCUCCUGCUCAUGGUUACCACUCACUCUGCAAUCAUUAUGAAGGGCCUCCGUGGUACCCAGGCCGGGUACUAAAGAGAUGGACGGUCCAUGAACUGGCCCCUCUGGCAGUCAAAGCCCAGAGGAGAGGGAGGCACAGGCCACAUAGUGAGGUCUCGACUGAGAGGAAAACAGUGUGCCUGAUUAUCAGGAUCAAAAGAAGUCAUCUGCCUUUGGCAGUGGGAGGGUGAGACACUCUGCUGGUGAAAGGGGCAUCACUGUGACAGGUACUGGGUGGCACCAAGGAAUGGCUUUGAGAUCCAUUAGCGAGUCCCCUCACCAUCUAGCCACUAGAGAUAAAGUAGUUUCUAAGCAAAAGUAAUUAAAAAUGUUAUAUUUAAAAUAAAAAUUAUAUUUAUUUACUUC
rnacentral:lncRNA from 1 species